UUCACGGUCUUCUUCCAUGGCAGGAGAAAAUAACACGUUUUCUCGGUAUUUCUUUGUCUAUAUUUUUGGAAAAAGUGACGAGGUCUCGUUGCACUUUCCCAAAUGUAGACAAAGCAAAACCGUGAUGACGUCAAAGAGGAUCUUGUUUGAUGAUCACGAAACAGAAUAUGAAAGUGGUAAUCAACAAAGCUUCAUCUGUUUCUUAUCAACCGAGGUUAUGAUGAUAUUAUCCGGAAUCUAGUAGACGAUAAGCUAAAGAUUGAGUCUGCAGAGAGAUGAUGUGCACCAAAGAUUAAUCCGCCUACAUAACAAAAAUUAAAGAUCACGUGUCAUUAGCAUCAUCACCAUUUGGUUGGAACUUUUUGAUUAAUCUUUGAUGAGAAUCCACUUAGGUAAAGAUGCAUGCAAAUCAUUUCCUUCUUAAUCUCAAACAAUAUUUCUUACAA